rnacentral:rRNA from 1 species
UGGGGAUUAGUGGCGAACGGGUGAGUAACACGUGGGCAAUCUGCCCUGCACUCUGGGACAAGCCCUGGAAACGGGGUCUAAUACCGGAUACUGACCAUCUUGGGCAUCUUUGAUGGUCGAAAGCUCCGGCGGUGCAGGAUGAGCCCGCGGCCUAUCAGCUAGUUGGUGAGGUAAUGGCUCACCAAGGCGACGACGGGUAGCCGGCCUGAGAGGGCGACCGGCCACACUGGGACUGAGACACGGCCCAGACUCCUACGGGAGGCAGCAGUGGGGAAUAUUGCACAAUGGGCGAAAGCCUGAUGCAGCGACGCCGCGUGAGGGAUGACGGCCUUCGGGUUGUAAACCUCUUUCAGCAGGGAAGAAGCGAAAGUGACGGUACCUGCAGAAGAAGCGCAUGCUAACUACGUGCCAGCAGCCGCGGUAAUACGUAGGGCGCAAGCGUUGUCCGGAAUUAUUGGGCGUAAAGAGCUCGUAGGCGGCUUGUCACGUCGGUUGUGAAAGCCCGGGGCUUAACCCCGGGUCUGCAGUCGAUACGGGCAGGCUAGAGUUCGGUAGGGGAGAUCGGAAUUCCUGGUGUAGCGGUGAAAUGCGCAGAUAUCAGGAGGAACACCGGUGGCGAAGGCGGAUCUCUGGGCCGAUACUGACGCUGAGGAGCGAAAGCGUGGGGAGCGAACAGGAUUAGAUACCCUGGUAGUCCACGCCGUAAACGGUGG